AUUGAACGCUGGCGGCAGGCCUAACACAUGCAAGUCGAGCGGAAACGAGUUAACUGAACCUUCGGGGAACGUUAACGGCGUCGAGCGGCGGACGGGUGAGUAAUGCCUGGGAAAUUGCCCUGAUGUGGGGGAUAACCAUUGGAAACGAUGGCUAAUACCGCAUAAUAGCUUCGGCUCAAAGAGGGGGACCUUCGGGCCUCUCGCGUCAGGAUAUGCCCAGGUGGGAUUAGCUAGUUGGUGAGGUAAUGGCUCACCAAGGCGACGAUCCCUAGCUGGUCUGAGAGGAUGAUCAGCCACACUGGAACUGAGACACGGUCCAGACUCCUACGGGAGGCAGCAGUGGGGAAUAUUGCACAAUGGGCGCAAGCCUGAUGCAGCCAUGCCGCGUGUGUGAAGAAGGCCUUUCGGGUUUGUAAAGCACUUUCAGCAGUGAGGAAGGCGGGUACGUUAAUAGCGUAUUCGUUUGACGUUAGCUGCAGAAGAAGCACC
rnacentral:rRNA from 1 species